rnacentral:lncRNA from 1 species
AAAAAACGAGGAGCAUCUAUAAUAUUUCGAAUAGAACCAUUCUUUUUAGUUUUGUCGACAGCUUUUUAAGUCUAUCAAAUAAUUAUCAAUUAGGAAGUGGCAUGUUCUAUCAUACUACUUUUAAUAUAAACUUUGUUUCUGUUUUUCUUCUUUUAAAGACUAGAGAAAGUCAUUUUCAUUUUAAAGGUAGUUGUGAACUAUUGGUUGCUUUAAAUCACCUAAGGUAUCAUGAAUAAUCAAGGGAGAAAUUAGGGUAAAUAAAGACAUGAGAUUUGAAAAUGGGUUUGCCCAAAAAAAAAAAUGAUGUUUGAAAAUAAGACGAAGACGAAGACAUUAGGUAAAUUAUUUUUUUGCAUCAUGGAACUCUCUAUUCUAAAAAUGACUGAAUUGAUAAGAUAAAAGAAAAAAACAAUAAUAUUAAUCAA